UACGAAGGGGGCAAGCGUUGUUCGGAAUUACUGGGCGUAAAGGGCGCGCAGGCGGCCCGACAAGUCAGAUGUGAAAGCCCCGGGCUCAACCUGGGAAUAGCAUUUGGGACUGUUGGGCUAGAGAUCGGGAGAGGAGAGUGGAAUUCCCAGUGUAGAGGUGAAAUUCGUAGAUAUUGGGAAGAACACCGGUGGCGAAGGCGGCUCUCUGGACCGAUACUGACGCUGAGGCGGCGAAAAGCGUGGGGAGCAAACAGG
rnacentral:rRNA from 1 species